GGGGCGCGCCGGGAGCGGGAUCGGCCUCGCCACGCCUCCCGGGGGCCCCCGCCCGCUGCGCGGCCCCGGCACACCGCCUGGGAAACCCCCCCGAGUUCCCUCCGACCUGGGGAGCCGGCAGCCGGGGGGUAGGGGGCUCCCCGACGCGGAGCUGGGAAGGGCGACCCUGCCUCCGCCCCCGGCCGCUGAGGGAAGAUCGUAUUUCCUAAGCCUUUAUCGGAACUGGUUAUUGGUGGCACCGCCCGGUUACAAAGUGUAUCUGCCCCGUCUCCUCCUAACCCCCAGCUUCGAGUCUGGGAUCCUCUGUCCUGCUUGGGAAGAAGGUCCAAGGGCGUCUAGAGUGAUCUUCCUUCUCGAGUGGAAAGCGUUUUCUCGCGGCGAAGCCGGAAGGAAGUUCUAGGGAAACCGCUUCUCUCCACGGAAUCCUCCCUGCCGGACACUCCCGAUGCCCACUGCGAGGCGGCACACGCUGCCCCCAGCCCCGCGCCCCUGCCAGGGUUUCCCGAGUAUCAGGACACUUUGCAAGGCAGCCCCGAGAGGGAGAGACGCUGUAAGGCCCCGACCCGCUCCAUCUCGGCGACCCGCACGUUGGACGUGCCAGGUGGAGCCCAGAUUCCAACGGCCUCGCUGAGUCCGCGUCCGGCCCCUUCCUGUCCCCAAGCUCGUCUCGGGCCCACGCACCCUCACACGCACACAAGUGCAAGACUGCAGCGGACCCGCUCGAAGACUCUCCACGUUUCUCCUACGGAAAGUGAAUUGUUAUUCCCACCCAAGGAAGUCAUCUGAGAAUUGCCGGCGGACAGAGGCUAGCUGAGAUGAGAAGCAAGGCCCUCGCUGUAGGACCUUAACGCCCAUCAUUUCUUUGUGCUUCUGGGCCCGCGGCGUUGGUGACAACAAGGGGAGACGCCCGAGACUUUAGUAAUAGCGAGCCCAACUAGCAAAUUAAACGGUGACGACUGAUUGGGGACACUGAGCCAUCCCCCAAAUUAUUUUAAAUACUAGAGUGCAGCGGCAUGAAUGACGCGGGGCGAGUACCAUUUCCAAGUGGUCUCAGGGCUGGACCACUCCCCGACCCUGGUCCAGGGGACUGGUCUUCUGCUCUUGCAGGAGGGCGCGCUGCCUGGACCGACCCUGCCGCCCUGACUCGGUGGUAGAUGCAGCCCGCGCCCGGGCUGGGAGAAGCCCGGCUGGCCUGGCCGCGGACUCCGUGGAAUUUGGCCGGGACUCAAAAGCAGAUUAUCCCAGUCUCGGCUGAAACUGUAGCAUCAGCUCCCUUCGCCUUUUCUCUGGGAACCAGAUUGGCCGGGUUGUUGCCUCUAAUCAUAACGUGAGAGACGUCUGUCCUCUAUCUGUUGUCUCUGACCAACGAAGGAUGAUCUUUAUAAACAAUUUUAAAAAUAGAAACAUGGAACCACCCCCUUGAUGAGCUCAUGAAAACCACACCUAAUCUUCUGGGAACUAUUAGCGUUACUUCCUACAUAGAGGUCUUCCAAAUAUAGCUGCAUUUUAGGGAGCUGGUGAAAUGGCUGCCCCAGCGGGGUCCUCUCUGGCUGCUCUUGCUUAUGCAGUAGCAGGUCGCGUGUGGUGGGGUGAAUUAAGAGAUUCUACUCAAAUACAUUUUUAAAGUCUAGCAAAGGUUGGAUCUGGUGACCCGGAUUACCGGAGAGAGAGGACAAUUGAAGAGAAAGAAAAAGUUUGCAGACUACUUGCAUUUUUCUCCGUCAAGACUUGGUUACACAGGCUUGCAAAAGCAAUCCUGCUCAGCGUGCUAGAAAAGUGAGGUUUAAACUUGCCAAGGAGAAACCACCGGAGCGGGAGUGUGCACGGCCAGAGGUGGCUGAUUAGAGCACAUUACAGAACAGCUCUGGAAGCUGUUUGCACCCAACAAAAUGCACUUGAAAAUUGAGUUGCAAGGUUGCAGUGUACUUGAAGAGGCUUUCUCCACUGGCAGCUUGGGACAAUAAUAGCUCUACAUGUUUGCCCAUUAAGAGGUUUAAACAAUGACCUCUUUAAACUUCUGACAAUAACCUUCAGAUGAGAAACUACAGACACGAUUUACAUGACUUUGAAGAGGCUAACUAAUGUGUCCAAGGAAACCAGACGCUAAUCCAUGUCUGAUCCCAAGUCCAAAGAAGCAACGUCUUGCAUCUACCAGCACGGGGUUAGAUGGGCGCACAAGCGCCUGGGUGCGUGGCUGCGUCUGCUGGUGCCGCUCGGAGGAGAACAGGACUGAACAUCAGCCAGUUGUGAAAAGCCUCCCACUGCUUUCCCAUCCUGGCCUCUCCUUUGCAGGAGGUUGGUUUUCCUUUUCAGGCUCUAGCCUCUGGCUCCCUUCUGCCAGAUGUGAAUAAAUUUCAGACAUACCUCUAC